rnacentral:rRNA from 1 species
AUACGGAGGAUCCGAGCGUUAUCCGGAUUUAUUGGGUUUAAAGGGAGCGUAGGCGGGAGAUCAAGUCAGCUGUGAAAUGUAGGUGCUCAACAUCUGCACUGCAGUUGAAACUGGUUUUCUUGAGUGCGUAAGGGGCAGGCGGAAUUCGUCGUGUAGCGGUGAAAUGCUUAGAUAUGACGAAGAACUCCGAUCGCGAAGGCAGCCGGCCGGGCCGCGACUGACGCUGAAGCUCGAAGGUGCGGGUAUCGAACAGGAUUAGAUACCCUGGUAGUCCGCACAGUAAACGAUGGAUACUCGCUGUCGGCGAUAUACGGUCGGUGGCCAAGCGAAAGCGUUAAGUAUCCCACCUGGGGAGUACGCCGGCAACGGUGAAACUCAAAGGAAUUGACGGGG